AGCGAACGCUGGCGGCAGGCCUAACACAUGCAAGUCGAACGGGCUCUUCGGAGCUAGUGGCGGACGGGUGAGUAACACGUGGGAACGUGCCUUUAGGUUCGGAAUAAGCCCGGGAAACUGGGUCUAAUACCGAAUGUGCCCUUCGGGGGAAAGAUUUAUCGCCUUUAGAGCGGCCCGCGUCUGAUUAGCUAGUUGGUGAGGUAAUGGCUCACCAAGGCGACGAUCAGUAGCUGGUCUGAGAGGAUGACCAGCCACAUUGGGACUGAGACACGGCCCAAACUCCUACGGGAGGCAGCAGUGGGGAAUCUUGCGCAAUGGGCGAAAGCCUGACGCAGCCAUGCCGCGUGGAUGAUGAAGGUCUUAGGAUUGUAAAAUCCUUUCACCGGUGAAGAUAAUGACUGUAGCCGGAGAAGAAGCCCCGGCUAACUUCGUGCCAGCCGCCGCCGUAAAAC
rnacentral:rRNA from 1 species